UCUUAAAUUACUUUUUGUUUUUAUAUUACUUUAUAUUGAUCGUGAAUGAAUUGAUCCACAGGUUUCGUUGCGAUACAGAAGAAUACGGUUCAGAAGAGCCACGCGUUCGGCGUGUCAUAGGUUUCACUUCGGCUAUUUCGAACAGGUUGCGCUCGUAUCUAUUUUUCGAUCAUUGGCAUCGGUCGGAUCCACGGAUUCUCGCGCUGCCGACGACAGAUAGGCUCUGAUCUACGACAAUCGUCAGGCAAAUGCAUCCGGAAACCGACAAUCGUCACGAGCGCUUUCUGUCACGAUGUGCUUUCGUCAAGAGAUAAAUUGGAAACGCCGGCAGCAAGAUACAAAUUCGGUAUUUUCGGUUUCAAAGUGUUAAGAUAACACAGACCAACUCGCGGCUGAAUUCUUCAAUGGGCCACUAGAAAGAAGAGUUUCUGAAUGGGCACGCACACGCAUCCGAAACGCGCACGCAUAUACCCGUGCGAUAUUCCCGUGUAUCUUAUAGCGACGAGAUAUCAACGAGCGAGGGGGUGCGUUCACUGGGUGUCUAAUAUUAUACUGCUACAUAAGGCGCAUCGUGACGCACGCGAUGUUUAUACGAAUUAUUUCAAACUCCUUUGCGUCAAGGCACAUCGCGAAAUAAUUAUCACAUCCGAAACAAAUAAUUAAGUAGCACAGAAUCAAUUUGUAACUUUUGUAAUUUUCAUAACGUCGAUCCUCGUAAAUCUUUGCACAAUUAGUUUACAGUAGUCUUGCCAGUUGUGCAAUCGUUUCAAAUCUCUUAGUAUUCUAUUAUCUCAUUUCAUCCCAUUUCUCCUUUAAUUAUAUUAUUUAUAAGUUAAUAUCUAACGUUUAUCAGGAAACAUUCGUAUUUCUUUAUUUGUAAUUUAAGAAAUUGUUUCAAAUGAAAUUGCGAUUGAUAAAAAAAUAUGCUAAUCUUUUCUAAUCUAAAUCUAAUUUCAAAAAGUAAAAAAAGAAUUUUUUUACACUUA